rnacentral:rRNA from 1 species
CCUACGGGUGGCAGCAGUGAGGAAUAUUGGUCAAUGGGCGCGACCCUGAACCAGCCACGUAGCGUGAAGGAUGACUGCUCUACGGGUUGUAAACUUCUUUUAUAAAGGAAUAAAGUGAGGCACGUGUGCCUUUUUGUAUGUACUUUAUGAAUAAGGAUCGGCUAACUCCAUGCCAGCAGACGCGGUAAUACGGAGGCUCCGAGCGUUAGCCGGAUUUAUUGGGUUUAAAGGGAGCGUAGAUGGGUUGUUAAGUCCGUUGUGAAAGUUUGCGGCUCAAACGUAAAAUUGCAAUUGAUACUGGCAGCCUUGAGUACAGUUGAGGUAGGCGGAAUUCGUGGUGUAGCGGUGAAAUGCUUAGAUAUCACGAAGAACUCCGAUUGCGAAGGCAGCUUACUAAACGGCCACUGACAUUGAUGCUCGAAAGUGUGGGUAUCAAACAGGAUUAGAUACCCUUGUAGUC